rnacentral:tRNA from 1 species
GGGCGAAUAGCUCAGUUGGGAGAGCAUCUGACUUACAUUCAGAAGGUCACAGGUUCAAGUCCUGUUUCGCCCA